GUAGCCUUGGCCGUUCGAGGUUCUUCGGCCAGGCCGGAGCUAAGACGGGAACGCGGUUCAAGCCGCGGCUGCCCCCGCAACUGUAGGCACCAUCGAUGAGUCGACACUGCCACUGCGCCAAGCGCGGGAAGGCGUCUUCUCCCAAGCCCGGUCCUGAUGACCGUGCCUGGCGCAGGUGCAAGCCAGGAGACCUGCCUCGCAACGUUUUCGACU
rfam:Pseudomonas sp. TRMO17WK12:I11 isolate Yellow genome assembly, chromosome: 1